rnacentral:tRNA from 1 species
GGAUCGUGGCUCAGUGGCAGAGCACUUGCCUCACACAUAUGAGACUCUGGGUUUGAUCCUCAGCACCA